UAGUGCAUUUGAUACGAUAAUUGAACUGGGUAUACAGUUGUAUUUGCUUCGAUUUGAUAGAGCAGCAUGUAAAUAAAAGGGGCAUGUUUCUAAAGAAACUGUGGUGCUGCGUCGGUGGGGGUAACAGAGUAACUGCCAUGAUAAAAGAGGUGUCCAAAUCAAGCAUAGAUGGAGUGGUUGGAAAAGUAACAAAAGGAGGGAAACCUGCUAAAAUGAACACUGAUGAAGUCUAGCAUUGGACCAAGGAAACUUAUCAACCGUGGUAAUAAAGCAAAAGUGAGGGUUGCCCUUGAUCAAAGUUAACUAAAGAGAGCAGAUGACUGGGUAGAGUGUGUAAAAGCUUUAUUUACCCAUUUACGCUUUAAGCGCCUCCCGGUUAGCUCAAUGGAUAGAGCGCUGGACUGUUGUACGGGAGGUCGAGGGUUCGA